UUGUUGUUUUUUUAUUAUUUUGGAUGUUCACAGGACAACUGUGUAACAUCCAGAGAGUCUUUUGAAUCUCCUCUCUAGAGACACGCAUAGGAUCACAAAACAAGGUGAGCAGUUUGCGGGCGGGUGUAUUCUCGCUGCACAUCUCUCCAGUUUGCUUCAAGAAAACAGUGUCAGGAUGUUGUGUGGGAGGAUGCUCCUCGGCGGAUGAGAGGGAUUACCAAAAAUGCAUUCUUAUUAUAAUCUUCAGGCUCAGUGACGGAUCCACUCCCACAGUAGCUAAAACGGGCUUCUUGCUGUUUACAGGCAGCGGCUGAAGGGAAAGCUGAGCCCUGGAGGAUGAAGCCGGUGCGUGAUGCUGGUGCAGAUGCAGAGGAAGAGGCCAGGGCCCGGCGUCAGACUCAGCUGGAGCAGGUGGAUAAAACCUGGAUUCAUCCUUCAAAACAUUAAAGAGACUUGAUGAUAUUCAAAACUGUGCAGCUGAACCAGACAAACAGAAGCACAUUGACCUCUGAUCAGUGAAUCAUAGUUCUCAGUAGCUUCCACGCAUAUUAGUCCGUCCUGAAACGCUGUUCUCUCCUUUUAGUUUGAGGCCUUUCUGUCCUUUGUUUAUCCUCCAGCGCCAUCUAGAGGCGUACAGGAACCUGCACCGGCUCAGAGACGCGCUCUAUCGGCGCUACGCUGCCUUGCUCAAAGACAAGGUGCAGUCACAGAGGUUACGGCUACAGCAGAGGCACGAGGCAGCAGUAAGGAAAACAGAAGGAGACGCUAAGCAGAAACCAAAGAAGUUGUCCUUCUCCAAGCUGCAGCACAAUGACUCAUACCUGAAGUCCCUCCCCCAGACCCGCUAUCACCUGGUAUGUCUCUCCCUUGUACAGCUCGAUUUAAGUGACACAUUUGCAUCGUUCUUUAUAAAUACGUCACGUUUCUUCUCUGAGGUCCUCGACCUUCAGACCCAGUUGGCAGAGCAAGGUCAUCUGAAAACCCACCACGACUUGGAGGAAUUUUACAGAUGCAUCAAGUAUAACGACCACCCGUCAGAGCUGCAGAGGAGCCUGCAGGACGUCAGGACAAGCAGUUACGUCACACCUGUAGAUAUGUGCAUUGAUUUAUUCCUUAUGAGAUCAGGAUCAGCACUGUCAAAACGGUGCACGUGACUAUGUUGAUAUAUUGUUGUCAGUGCUGGGAACGAAGACACCGGAAAAAGCUCCCUGCACCGGUGAAGAGAGAGGACACACGGGGGACGUCUCCCAGAGCAGGUGGUUGUUUCACGAGCUCCACUAAGUUCAAUAAAUGUCCAUCCAGCGCUAAUCUGCGCA
rnacentral:lncRNA from 1 species